ACAAACAAACAAACAAACACACAUUUUAUGUGUAUAAUGUUUUUCUAGCAUGUGCGUGUAUGUGGUGUGCAUCACAUGUGAGCCUGGCAUCAGAUGGUGGGGAGCUGGAGUCACAGGUGGUUGUGAGCCAUCAGGGGAGUGAGCGCUGAAACCGAACCCAGAGCAUUGGCAAGAGGACCAAGUGCUCUUAACCACUGAGCCUCUUUGUCAUCCCCAGCUCCAUGUGUGACUCUGUUUUUCUACCAGACUUCAGACUGAACGCCUUGUUCGUCUCUUUGAAGAUGUAUGAAGCAACCAUGGAGGGAUGGUGGAGGUGAGAGAGUAAAAAUGAAGCAAGAGAAGGAGGAAGCUUAGGUAUUAUUGAUACCUAACUUUACAGCCGAGGUGCCGCAGAAUUAGACAUUAAAGCAGCCACGUGGAUUUCAACCCUCACAGACUCCUGGUCACAUCUACUGUCCGGUAUGGCUUCUCGGAUUCAUCCAGGGGAGCAGAAGUCACAUUGGGAUGAGAAGAGAAACCGAGGAGAUGAAGGGAAACCAGAGAGAAAUUGGAGAAGGGGAGGAUUGCUCCAGGGGAACAAGAAGUCGGAGAUUCUUCUCCCUUCCACCUCGGACACUCUUCUCCUCCGUUCCUCUCGACUGAGACAAUCUGAGGGCUGUGCCCAGAGCCUUAUCAUCAGCAGAAACUGAAGCAUCUAUGAAAUAACGGAAUCAAGCACCCUUCUCUGAUAUGAUCUCUUUUCCUUAUGGUUCGUUGCUAGGUUGGCUCACUGCAGCUGUUGGACAAACUGGCUGGGGGAACAGUGACCCUUCUUUUCUUUAUUCUCCCCUUCUCGGUCUUAGGGUGUAGACUUGCCAUCAGAAUUCUUUCCUGAAUCAAUUCAACUCCCCUCCCUUGUCUAUCCGAACCACCCUGCCUCCCUGGUUAAGCGCCAGCCUUAGAUGGAUCCAGCACUUGCCUGCAUUUGUAUUUGAGCAGCUGAGGACCACUAGAGGAAAUCAUUCCAGCAGACAAGACUAUGGCCUGGCCGCUCUAAAACACUUCCCAUCAACUUCAAUUGUAUGCUCCCAAGUCAGAAAUCUCAGCAACGGCUCUCUCUUCCACCCUUAGCAAUUGGGGUUUUAGACCUUCCGUCUGCAGCCUCCCCUGCAGCCCAGCCACUUUAGGAACCACUUUUUUUCCCAGUGGAAAAUAAAAGCUGCAAGACAAGAACACUCUCGGUCUGUGAUACACCUUUCAUUUUUAUUAAGAUGGGGGCAGAUUGGCCUCAAACUUGCUAUUGUCUUUCUUAGCCCCUGAAUGCCAGGGUUGCAAGCCUGCUUCAUCAUGUCCAGCCAAAGCCUUUAAAAAAAGUUAUCACCAUUUUUGGUGUUUUGAGACAGGGUCUCACUAUGCAUAAUCCUAGCUUUGACCACUCUAUGUAGACCAGGCUGACCUCAAACUUAUCUUCCUGCGGCUACAUACCAAAUGCUGGGCUUAAAGGCAUGUGCCAUCAG